GACGAACGCUGGCGGCGUGCUUAACACAUGCAAGUCGAGCGGGGGGACGACCGGGUAAGUAGUACGUGGGUGACCUGCCCUGCACUUAUGGCUAAGCCUGGGAAACUGGGUCUACUGCCGGUUAGUGUGGGAUGGGCCCGCGGCCUAUCCGCUUGUUGGUGGGGUAAUGGCCUACCAAGGCGGCGACGGGUAGCCGGCCUGAGAGGGUGGACGGCCACAUUGGGACGGAGAUACGGUCCAGACACCUACGGGAGGCAGCAGUGGGGAAUAUUGCACAAUGGGGGGAAUCCUGAUGCAGCAACGCCGCGUGGGGGAUGACGGCCUUCGGGUUGUAAACUGCUUUCACCAUCGACGCGGUAGUGGGAGAAGAAGCACCGGCUAACUACGUGCCAGCAGCCGCGGUAAUUC
rnacentral:rRNA from 1 species